UACGUAGGGUGCAAGCGUUGUCCGGAAUUAUUGGGCGUAAAGAGCUCGUAGGCGGUCUGUUGCGUCGGCUGUAAAAACCCGAGGCUCAACCUCGGGCCUGCAGCCGAUACGGGCAGACUAGAGUUCGGCAGGGGAGACUGGAAUUCCUGGUGUAGCGGUGAAAUGCGCAGAUAUCAGGAGGAACACCGGUGGCGAAGGCGGGUCUCUGGGCCGAUACUGACGCUGAGGAGCGAAAGCGUGGGGAGCGAACAGG
rnacentral:rRNA from 1 species